rnacentral:lncRNA from 1 species
CACUCUGCUACUUUGCUCCAUUAUGCUGAAACUGCUUUCUCAAAGGUCAUCGCAGACUUCCUAAAUGCCACGCCUUAUCAUCCUUCUAAUUCUUUUGUUGUUGUUGUUUUGGGACAGAGUCUUGCUCUGUCACCUAGGUUGGAGUGCAAUGGUGCGUUCUCAGCUUACUGCAACCUCUGCCUCUCAAGUUCAAGCGAUUCUCCUGCCUCAGCCUCCUGAGUAGCUUAGUAGAGAUGGGGUUUCACCAUGUUGGCCAGGCUGGUCUCCAACUCCUGACCUCGUGAUCCGCCCACCUCGGCUUCCCAAAGUGCUGGGAUUAUAGGCAUGAGCCAUCGCGCCCGGCCAUUUUUCUAGUUCUUAUCCUUUUGGAACAUUUUAUAACGUUUUAUCUACUUGAUCUCCAUAUGAAUUAAAACGCUUAUUCUUUGGCUUCCAAAACAAUGCUUUUUUUCCCCUCAGAUCCUCUUCUUACCUCCUGAAUCACUCUUCUGCUCUUCCAUUGCCCACUCUUUGCCCAGAUUUCUACCCCAACCCACUUUCUCUAUAUUCUUUCGUCUUUGUAACCUUACCCACUCCCAUGGCCUCAUCCCUCAUUGUGUACUAAUGAUGUCGAGAUCUGUCUGACCCUGACCUGUUUAGACUUGACUUUUUUCCUGGACUCAAGAUUUGCAUUUCCAGCUGCCCAUUAGACAUCUUGAUGUAGAUGUCUUACAGGUUUCUCUCGGUCUCAGUAUUUCCAGAGCAAAAUUGUUCUCAUCCUAUCACAAAAUUUGUUGCUCCUCCUGUUUUCUCUUCUUGAAAAGAAAUAUCAUCAGCCACUCAGUCAUUUAAGUCAUUGAUUCCCAAUUGACUGCAUGAGAAUCACCUGGGGGCACAUGUUAACAAUAGAGGCUGCUGAACUGUAUCCUCCAAAGAGCCUGAUUCAUUAGGUCUAUGGUAGGACCCAGGAAUCUUUUAUUCUGAUGCUUAUCCAAGUUUGGAAAUCACUGAUGAAAACUGAUUUGCUCCCUCCGUCCCCAUCUCCACCGUCUACUGAGUUACCAGGACUUGUCAGUUGUAUCUGUGUAAUGUCUCAUAACUCUGUCUUCUUGUCUCCAUUUACACUGCUAGUAUUCUAGUUGAGACUGUCAUCUUCCAUAGGUCUAUUUUUUCCCCUAAUUUCACAUCUUUACAGUCUAUUUCUAAUAGUACCUUGUUAUUUUUAAAAUACCAAUCUAAUGAUAUAACUUUUCUUUAAAAAACAAUCCAUCAUUGGCUUUCGAGCUUGGUUAUACAUCAGAAUACUCAUUAAAUGCAGAUUCUGUCUGUUUAAGAAUGAGGACAAUUAAAGAAAAAUACAGAUGCCUGAGCCCCAACUCUGGAAAUUUCAAUUUAGUAGAUCUGGAGUACAGCACAGGAAUCUGUAUUUUUACCAGGUAUCCCAGAGAUUCUGAUGCAAUUUUGCAUUUUGAAGCCAUUCACAUGCAGAGUAAAAAUGCAUCUAAAAUGCUUUCAACCUGUCUUACCAGUUUUUUUCCCUACCAUUCCUCAACCUCAUUCACAUACCUUCUCAUUUGUUAUUUGCCAUCUCCUGAGCACUCCAUGAACUUUUUGUUCAUACCGUUCUCUUUGCUUAACUGCUCCUGCUCCCCUUCUAUGCCUGGUAAAACCCUCCUAAUCACUUCAAGGCUUGGCUCAGGUGUCACCUCCUCUGUGAAGUUCUACCCUGUCAGGAUUUAUUCAUCCUUCCUUCUUGUUCUCAUGAUACGUUGUUGCUGGUUUAGCAAACCACAGGUGAUAUUAUCUUACACAAACAACAAGUUGUUCUGUGGCAGGCAGAAGACUCAGGAGAUGAAGGAGUUUCAUUAUUUACCUAGAGUUUCCAGCCCAAGGCUGCUGUUGCCCUAGUGGAGAGUUUUAUAAAAUGGUUUUGAUAUGACCUGUGAGUAAAGAAGAAAAUGUGUUUGAAACAAUUUCUGUGAACAUGAUUUGAACUUUGGGUUAUUGUAUUUGUUUCUUAUCCAUUUUAUUGUGAAUGUUCAAGCUGUAUACCCACCUCUUCCCCUGAGAGUAGAGCCCUGAAGCUUUAUAUUCUCAACACCCCCCCCCCCCCCCCCAUUCCUUGGCUCUGUCUUCUCAGUGUCAAUAGAUACCUUCUCUCUUCUUCGCUGUUGCCUGCUUUGGUUACAGAUUCCAGAGCUUUUC